rnacentral:rRNA from 1 species
CCUACGGGAGGCAGCAGUGGGGGAUAUUGCACAAUGGGGGAAACCCUGAUGCAGCGACGCCGCGUGUGGGAGGACGGUCCUCUGUAUUGUAAACCACUGUACCCGGGGACGAAGAUGACGGUACCUGGGGAGGAAGCCCCGGCUAACUACGUGCCAGCAGCCGCGGUAAUACGUAGGGAGCAGGCGUUGUCCGGAAUUACUGGGUGUAAAGGGAGCGUAGGCGGAACUGCAAGUCAGAGGUAAAAUCUACAGGCGCAACCAGUAGCCGCAUUUAAAACUGCAGAUCUUGAGUGACGGAGAGGCAGGCGGAAUUCCUAGUGUAGCGGUGAAAUGCGUAGAUAUUAGGAGGAACACCAGUGGCGAAGGCGGCCUACUGGGCCGAUACUGACGCUGAGGCUCGAAAGUGUGGGGAGCAAACAGGAUUAGAUACCCGAGUAGUC